rnacentral:rRNA from 1 species
CCUACGGGAGGCAGCAGUGGGGAAUAUUGGGCAAUGGGCGCAAGCCUGACCCAGCAACGCCGCGUGAAGGAAGAAGGCCCUCGGGUUGUAAACUUCUUUUCUCAGGGACGAAGCAAGUGACGGUACCUGAGGAAUAAGCCACGGCUAACUACGUGCCAGCAGCCGCGGCAAUACGUAGGUGGCAAGCGUUAUCCGGAUUUACUGGGUGUAAAGGGCGUGUAGGCGGGAAAGCAAGUCAGAUGUGAAAACCAUGGGCUCAACCUGUGGCCUGCAUUUGAAACUGUUUUUCUUGAGUACUGGAGAGGCAGACGGAAUGCGUAGUGUAGCGGUGAAAUGCGUAGAUAUUAGGAGGAACUCCGGUGGCGAAGGCAGUCUGCUGGACAGCAACUGACGCUGAGGCGCGAAAGCGUGGGGAGCAAACAGGAUUAGAUACCCGGGUAGUC